ensembl:lncRNA
GAAUGUUUGUUUUUGAGUUGAUAGGUUUGCUUAAUAGAAGUGUUAAUUUAACCUUUCUUGUUUCCAUUAUCGCAAUUUGUAAAACCUGAUAGGAAUAGUGGAGCAGGGGCUGAGGUUCUUUCUACUCAUAUUAAUUUUAAAGGAUACCUAUUCAAUUCUUGAUCACGUGCAGAGGUGCCUGCUAUGUCUGCGACGCAGCACUGGUGUGGCCGUAGACAGCAAGCCUAGUAGCCGCCGGGGACAUCACUCCUUCAUCCAUCAUCCCCGCUCCGUUAAGUGGUGAAGGGGCAGAAAACAGACUCGCCUCGGGGUAACCCGAGCUCGAACCCAGCACCAAGUCCUGGCUUCCUGAGCAGCUUUCUUAACACGGGCUUAUACUCCUUGUGCCUUCUCAUUUGUUUGAUGAGAAAUGAGGCUUUCUAUAAAGGCAAGUUCUGAGAGUCCCAAUAAGAAACAGGUGUGAAGUUUUUGUUUUUUUAUUUCAAUAGAAAUGGUUCCGGAGAGUAUGUAUUUGCAUAAUGCCUGCAGGCCGCUCACCUGAGCCCCUCGAUCCUGUGGAAGACAGAGGUUAGGCUUUCCUACUUGCAGACAAGCCAGCUCUCCCGGAGGGAUGCGUGCCUUUGCUCAGGCCGGGUGACACGGAGCGCCGGGGUGACUGCCUGCCUGCCAAGCAAGUGUGGCUCUGCCUUGCGGCGCGAAUCAGGACGGCUGCUCCAAGAGCACCGCGAAGCCGCGCGGAGGGCGGGGGCGCGGGGGGCGUCAGGAACCGGGCCCGCAGGGCCCCCAGCCCUUGAACCCCGCGGAGGGAAGGGACUGGCCAACUGACUCAAGAUGUAUUGGCUUUCAUAUUCUCCAACUGCGCUUUUCAACCUGGGAAGGGCAGAAACACCCUGCAGAGAUUGAGGAGGGUGAGAAGGAGCCGCUUUCCGAGCUGGACAGUGCAGCUGCCCAAGCGGAUCACCGACGGGGCUGGGGUGUCUCCGCCCGCGGCCUGCCACCGGGCGGGCCCUGCUGCGGACGCCGGGGAGAGGGCUGCGCCUGAAGGGCCGGCGGUCAGGUCAGAGCGCUCACUGAGUGGUGCGCGCCCGCGGCCUGUAGCCGCCUACUCUCCUGCCUCGGCCUCACCCCCUCAGGUGCGGGGAGAAUCCCAGUCUCCGGGAGACCCCACGGCCUGAGGCCUUGAGCCCCGCUCGCCCCGGGCGGCUGGACCACUUCCUCCCGGCUUGCCUGCUCUCCCAAGUUCAUGGGGUUCUCAAGGCUGGUAUACUGGAGUGGUUUGCCAUUCCCUUCUCCGGUGGAUCAUAUUUUGUCAGAACUCUUCACUAUGACCCAUCCAUCUUGGAUGGCCCUGAAUAGCAUGGCUCAUAAUUUCGAGUUAUGCAUGAACUUGGGCAAACUCUGGGAGAUGGUGAGGGACAUGGAAGCCUGGUGUGCUGCAGUCCAUGGGGUCCUGAAGAGUUGGACAUGACUUGGUGGCUGAACAACAACAACAAUCCACUACCUUUACCUUUUUCAGUGAGAAUUAGAC